GUAAUUCAGCUCCAAUAGCGUAUAUUAAAGUUGUUGUGGUUAAAAAGCUCGUAGUUGAACCUUGGGCCUGGCUGGCCGGUCCGCCUCACCGCGUGUACUGGUCCGGCCGGGCCUUUCCCUCUGUGGAACCCCAUGCCCUUCACUGGGCGUGGCGGGGAAACAGGACUUUUACUUUGAAAAAAUUAGAGUGCUCCAGGCAGGCCUAUGCUCGAAUACAUUAGCAUGGAAUAAUGAAAUAGGACGCGCGGUUCUAUUUUGUUGGUUUCUAGGACCGCCGUAAUGAUUAAUAGGGACAGUCGGGGGCAUCAGUAUUCAAUGGUCAGAGGUGAAAUUCUUGGAUCCAUUGAAGACUAACUACUGCGAAAGCAUUUGUCAAGGAUGUUUUCAUUAAUCAGGAACGAAAGUUAGGGGAUCGAAGACGAUCAGAUACCGUCGUAGUCUUAACCAUAAACUAUGCCGACUAGGGAUCGGACGAUGUUAUUUUUUGACUCGUUCGGCACCUUACGAGAAAUCAAAGUGCUUGGGCUCCAGGGGGAGUAUGGUCCGCAGGCUGAAACUUAAAGGAAU
rnacentral:rRNA from 1 species